rnacentral:lncRNA from 1 species
GUUAAGUAAUAAUUUCAUUUUGGUUAAUAAAUCACUUGUAUAAAUAUAACUGCUAUUAGACAAUAGAAUUGAACUAGGUCGUUCAUUAAUAAUUCAUACAAAGAAAAUUAACAAAAAAGGAGGAAUUAUGUGAAAGAUUUUAAAUAAAUCGUCCAAUGUGUAUGUUAUUAUCGUACUUGAUUGGCACACCUAUCGGCAGAAGACA